rnacentral:rRNA from 1 species
AUGAAUUGGCGAUCAGAACACAUAUUGGUAGAACUUUUAAAAAGUUCUCGAAAAAGGGGUAGUUUUUUCUGGGCUUGUAUUCUUUUUCUAGGUUCACUAGGAUUCUUAUCGGUUGGGACUUCCAGUUAUCAGCUUAACAAAAUGUUUAUACAAUGUACAUCAAUAUUCACAUAUUUUUUUAAAAUGUUUCAUACCAUGCAAAAAUUGUUCAACCUGUAUUUGAAAAAUGUUAACAUGUAUUCUAGAAAAUGUUCAAACCUAUAUCAUGUAUUUUGA